CGUGCUUAACACAUGCAAGUCGAACGGGAUUAGUUGAUUGAGAGCUCGGCAGGAUAUCGAUAAUCGAGUGGCGGACGGUGAGUAACGCGUGAGCAACCUGUCCCAGACAGGGGGAUAACACUUGGAAACAGGUGCUAAUACCGCAUAAGACCACGGGAUCACAUGGUUCUGGGGUAAAAGGAGCAAUCCGGUUUGGGGUGGGCUCGCGUCCGAUUAGCCAGUUGGCGGGGUAACGGCCCACCAAAGCGACGAUCGGUAGCCGACCUGAGAGGGUGAACGGCCACAUUGGAACUGAGAGACGGUCCAAACUCCUACGGGAGGCAGCAGUGGGGAAUAUUGGGCAAUGGGCGAAAGCCUGAACCCCAGCAACGCCGCGUGAGUGAAGAAGGCCUUCGGGUUGUAAAGCUCUGUUAUAGUUGACGAAGGAAGUGACGGUAGGCUAUAAGGAAGCCCCGGCUAACUACGUGCCAGCAGCAGC
rnacentral:rRNA from 1 species